rnacentral:tRNA from 2 species
GCGGAUAUGGUGGAAUUGGUAGACACGCUGGAUUUAGGAUCCAGUGCCGUGAGGCGUGUGGGUUCGACUCCCUCUAUCCGCA